CCUUUUCUUCUCCAAUAUCGUCUCCCACGAUUUACUUUCUCCCACGAUUUACUUUCUCUGUUUCUUAGUCUGAAAUUUUAUUCCCUAAAAUCCUGUUUCUCAGUCUCCAAUAUUGUGCCCCCCUUUCCACAUUAUUUGUUUCUUUCUCAUUUUUUUCUUUGCUUGACUAAAAAAAAAAUUAUCUUCCCCCUCCACAUUAUUUGAUUUCUCGAAACCCUAAACAUCCACCGUGCUCCCUUUCCUCAGAAGCUGUUUUCGAGCAAUCGAUCGGCUUCUAGCCACUUUACCUAGCAACCAACUCACUUCACCAUAUCACCCUUGAUAAAAAGAAUGUAAAGGCAUAUUUACGAAGAGGCAUUGCUAGAGAGAUGCUUGGUUACUAUAAGGAGGCAAUUGAUGGAGUGCUCAUCUUGUACACUUAUUGCUGAAAACUUUGCAACGACAUUGCCAUAGAUUUUAGUAGGAAGGAUUCAGCUGACUUUUGGUUCUGGAGUGUUCGGGGAUCAUUUAAGCAUCGAAUCGUAACAGGUGUGUACUCCGAUUGCACAGAAAAUGAGUUUCAACGAAAGCCAAAAAGCACUCUGUCGAAGCCACAUGGGCGUGUGGUCGCCCGUGUGGUAGGCCAUAUGUCAGUACACGGGAGUGUGGUCGACGACCAAGCUGUGCGCAUGCAAGACGGGCGCGAUAAACACAGCCAUGUGAAGGCUGGUAGGCCGUGUGCAAGACACAGGCUCGGACAAUUGGGCCGUGUAGGCCAUACAGACGUGUGAGCCUACACGGGUGAACCACACAAGCGUGUGGAAAUUUGGGCCAGGCCGUGUGGAUCACACGGCCAAUGUCAAUUUGGGUCGGGUGGGCCACACGGGUAGGCAACAUGGGCGUGUGAGCCCGUUCUUCUGAAAUAUACUAUAAGGUUGCACGGGUCGCCCAAGAUGACUUUGACUUGUCGUAGGGUCGGUAAUCCUCAACAGUAGGCGGAUUGGCGCAGUGGAGGACUCGAUGGUGACCACGACCACACAUGUUUUGGUUUAUGAACUUUCGACUAUAGCUUAUUCAUUAUUUCUGAGAAUUUUGAUGUAAUUUUGGACUUGGACUUUUGGUUUUAAUUUGGGUUUUUAAACUGUGAUUUUGAAAUACGAAUUGCAACGCCAAAGCAUGUUUUUUAAACUUAA